CCUACGCGUGGCAGCAGUGGGGAAUAUUGCACAAUGGGGGGAACCCUGAUGCAGUGACGCCGCGUGAGUGAAGAAGUAUUUCGGUACGUAAAGCUCUAUCAGCAGGGAAGAAAAAAGGACGGUAACUGAGUAAGAAGCCACGGCUAACUACGUGCCAGCAGCCGCGGUAAUACGUAGGGGGCAAGCGUUAUCCGGAAUUACUGGGGGUAAAGGGUGCGUAGGCGGCAAUGCAAGUCCGGAGUGGAAGGCGCCAGCUCAACCGCCGGACUGCUCUGGAAACUGUAUGGCUUGAGUGAAGGAGGGGGAAGCGGAAUUCUCGGUGUAGCGGUGAAAUGCGUAGAUAUCGGGAGGAACACUGGUGGCGAAGGCGGGUUACUGGACUGUAACUGACGCUGAGGCACGAAGGCGAGGGGAGCGAAAGGGAUUAGAUACCCGAGUAGUC
rnacentral:rRNA from 1 species